CGGCUGUCUUUGCUCAAAAGGCGUUCCCUGGCACAUCCCCCAUGGCUUGGCUCCUUUAGGGAAAGGGCGAUGAGAUGAUCCUGGAAGGGCCCAUCCACACUGCCCUUUAUCCCAGGAUCUCAUCUGAGAUUAUCAGCUUUAAACUGGAAUAUACGACUGGUCCAUGAGGUCACAAAGAGUUGGAAACAAAUGUGUAAAUGAAGAAGAUAUGAGUCCCCACUGCCAGAUAACCUGGGAUAAACAGAUAAUCUGGAAUCAGAUCCUAUUGGAAAUAACUGCACCCAGUCUCUGGGCACACAUCCCUCUGGAAAUAAAUGGCAAUCAUAGCCUUAUUGAAAAGGAAAAAUGAUGUCAUAUCCAUUUGGCAAAAGUGAAUCUCCAUGAACACAUGAAGACCACUAUUUGAAAACCACUAGUCAAGAAAAGCAUGACCUUGUUAAAAGUCAACCAUUUGAACAAGUGAUAUUAAUAAGCAAUCAUGUAAUGGCAUACAGGUAACUCAGCUGUUAAACUUAAGAACCAUGUCUUUAAACUGCCAAUGAUAAAGACAUCCCACUACAAA